GGCGUCCAGACCUACUACGCCCGAGCCGCAUCCCCGGCACACUUGCUAUAUCCACUAAGGCUUCAUCCCACUUCAUCCUACCAACUAUACCUGAUAUAAAGCCGUUCUAUAAAAAUUCAAGACAACAAGAAAGCAAGAAAACGAUAGCGAUUGGUUUGGGAGCGUCACUGGGGGAGGAAAUAAGUAUUUCAAGGACCCGGCUUCGUAGACGAGAAAGAAUAGAAGAAAGGGCAUACCCGACCCGAGCUACUAGGCCAGGGCCUGAGGAGAGGAACUAUUUCAAGCAAGGAU
rnacentral:lncRNA from 1 species